rnacentral:snoRNA from 1 species
CUUCAAUAAUGUUGUCAAAUGUCUGUGCUGUAAACAGGAUUUAGACAGAUAUACUCUGCAUAA